rnacentral:lncRNA from 1 species
UAGGCACACCUGGCAUUGGGAUUAUAACGAGGAGAAGUAGUGUUGGGUUUUGCAGGAGGAUCUCUGAGGGUAAUUAAAUUUGCUUUUAGCAUACCCUGCAGUGCUUGUGCUAAAGUCAUAUUGAUCUUCGUAAACUGCCUCCUUCCCGGGUUAAUGUGUCUCACAGAUUUCUUGUCUUUUUUCUUCUCGAGCAAGAGAGCCUUCAGUUCCUUCUGCCCCCUGGAUAAGUUCAAGAUUAUCUUCUGGAGUUGAGCAUUCUGAGCCUGGAGGUCUUUGACAAUUUGUUCGAGGUCC